UCCGAAUUGGUGUAGUGGCUAACAUUUGACGCUCUCAUCGUCUACCGACGUAGCAGGCACCGUCAAGCCCGGGGUUCGAUUCCCCGAUUCGGAG